ensembl:processed_transcript D030028A08Rik RIKEN cDNA D030028A08 gene
AAGGAAAUGCUGUCACCGCCGUUAAGAAGCACGUGGAGGUUUGUUAAAGGUAGUGGGAGGCAUAGUUUUUGGCAAUAGCCAGCCAAGGAUCCAGGGAACAGGUGCACACUGAGUUCACGUAGUGGAUGUCUGGCUGAGAGAGAAGGAGGAAACCCUAACAACGCUCCUUCCAGCUUUGAUCUGCCUGGGGCAGCCUGUGGUGGAAGAUGACGCUGGUGUCUACCAGCAUCUGGAGUGGGAGCCACAAGAAUCACAUAGACAGGCACCCAGCCCUAUGCCAGCUAUGUAUGUGGGAGUUGGCUGGCUCUGGAGAAGAGCUGUUGGCAGUGCAGGUGGCUGGUGACAAGGAUGGAGCGUGAGGCCUCGAGACAGGAUGUCAGGCAGUACAGAAGCCUCGGCGCUCAGCAGAGCUGCGGUCCUGGCUGUUCUGAGGAUGGAGACCACAGGAGGACUCAGGAUCCCCUGGGAGUGGAGUUACAGCUGGUUGAGAGCCACAUGAGUGCUGGGAAUCAACCUUGGAGCCUCUGGUAAAAGCAGCGAGUCUCAACCACGACACAUCGCUCCAGCCCCAUGUGGAGCACUGCUCAAGUCUGUUAAAAUCACUGGGCCUGGUGACAACGUAUGUCAGUCCUGCCUCAGCCUCCUGAAUGCGUGGUUACAGGUGUGCACCACUGCACCUGACUCAAGUUUUAAACAUUCCUUCUCAUGGUCAUUUCCCUGUAAAUCAGCAGAGACACUGGGGAAUGGAGCAAUGUGACUCCCAUGGCUGUUGGAGUCUCCUUUACUGCCCUGUCCGUCUUGAGCAACACUAGGCUUUGCCUGUACUUGUCUGCUUCUAGAGUGUGCUGAGCUGGUAAUGCAAAGGAGCAGCAGCUGAGUGGCAGUGAUGACGCCUUUAAUCCCAGCCCUCAGGAGGCAGAGGCAGGCGGAUCUGAGUCUGAGGCCAGCCUGGGCUACAGAAAAAAAAGGGGGGUGGGGAGGAAGGAAAAAGCAGCUUCGGAGAUUGCAAAGUGACCGGACAGCUGAGCAGAUGGCAGGGCAGGCUACAAAAGCAGUAAGGUGGUGGCCACAUGGCAGCUAAAAAGACAAGAGUUGACAGCUGGCAGAAGGGCCAGCUGCCUUGAGAGCAGCAGAAGCAAAACCAGCUGUGAGCGCACUCCAGAACCCAGAGGUCAUCAUGGUCAGGACUACUUGGCCUAAGACCUGAAGAGACUCCAAGGCAGAAGCCAUUUCCUGCCCACCCCCAAAUGAUGGUGACUCCAGCUUCCCGUAAGAUCUGACGAUAAUCUGCCUCGGUUUCAAAGCAAGCCAAAAGGGUGAAGAGCUUUUCCUGCAAGGCCCUGCUUGAGUAUCCCAGCCCCAGGCUUGCCAGGACAAGCUUUUCCUUUGCUUAUACUCAUAGAUUCAGGCCAAGCCUGCCUUUACCACACUCCCCACAGCCAUCUAAGAUGGGGAGAACUGGGAGACUCCUGUGUCAGGUCUAGCUGUGCUGAGUCCAGAGUGCCCCCUGGUGGACACUGGUAGCCCUCUAAAUCUGGAUCUCUUCAUUGGGGUAGAGCCUCUAGUCUUGUGCUAAGGCAGGCUACCAGCUCAAUCCAGCUGCAGCUAGAUGCAAACCGGUCUGGGAAAGAAGAAAGGCUAUGCCAGCAUUCCUGAGCAGCAGGACAUACCUGUCCUAUUCUAAAGGCUGUCUGCUCAAACUUCACACGAGAGACACAAGGACUUCCAGGAACCAGAAGAUGGCAAUUCCUUUAAGUCAGCAGUUCUCAGCCUAUGGGUUGUGACCCAUUUGGCAAACCUCUCCAAAAGUAUUUACAUGGCACUUCAUAACAGUAGCAAAAUUACAGUUGUGAAGCAGCAGAAAAAAUAAUGUAAUGUUUGGGGGUCACCACACUAUGAGGGACUACACUAAAGGGUUGCAGCAUAAGGAAGGCUGAGAAGCACUGCCUUAAGUGGACUUCCCCCUUUAUCCAGGACAACUGAUAAGACCAUGUAGGUCAUAGACUCUGCAGGGCUAACAACUACACGUAAGAAUGAACAGUGCGUGAAUUCCACUUUUGUGUAUAUACAGUAAUAGCUGGCAGGAUUUUUCUCUUCUCAUUUCCCCACAGUUGGAUAGUUGACCUCCAUAUCAACAGGUUCUGUAGCCACAGAUCCAACCAACGAUGCAUCAAGAAAUGUUGGUGCUGAAAAAAGUCUGGAGCAUCUAUGGGUUCUGGAGCCAAUAUCCUGUGGGUACUAAGGGAUCACUGUAUCCUCCUAUAAUUUUUAAACUUUAUUUUUACUUUAUUUGAGACAGGGAUCUUGCACUGUAUCCCAGGUUGGUCCAGGACUCAUUUGUUAGUCUCUCAAGGGCUGGGGUUACAGGUGUGUGCUACCAGGCCCAGACACUUUUGAUAAGGGAGAAACUAAGAGUACUGGCUAUUCUUCUAGAAGACCCAAGUUCAAUUCCCAGCAUCCACAUGGUGAUCACAAUCCUCUGUAACUCCAGUUCCAAGGGAUAUGACCUCCUCUGGCCUCCAGUGCACAAUGCACAUAUGUAAGUGGUAUAAAACGUGCAUGCAGGGAAAAACCCAUACACAUAGCACUUUAAACAAAUAAAGGGCAAACAAGAGGCAGGAUGUGGUGGCACAUGCCUUUAAUCUCAGCAAAUGGGAAGCAGGGAAAACUGGAGCUCUAGGAGUUUGAAGCCAGCCUGGUCUACAUAGUGAGUUCCAGGCCAGCUAGGGCUAUACACUGAGCCCAUUUCAAAAAAAAAAA